rnacentral:rRNA from 1 species
UGAAGCUGGAAUUGCUAGUAAUGGCAGGUCAGCAUACUGCCGUGAAUACGUUCCCGGGGCCUUGUACACACCGCCCGUCACACCAUGAGAGUUGGAAAUACCCGAAGCCUGUGAGCUAACUGUAAAGAGGCAGCAGUCGAAGGUAGAGCCAAUGAUUGGGGUGAAGUCGUAACAAGGUAGC